AGGGAUGUUAUUUUGGGCAGUGCAUCUGGACUUGGUUCAAGUGGCACCAGCCAAAUCCCUGCCUUACUGACCUCUCCCCUGGAGGAGCAGGAGCAGCGCUCAAGGCCGCCUUGGGAGGGCUGAGAGGCAGGCUCUGGACUGGGGACACAGGGAUAGCUGAGCCCCAGCUGGGGGUGGAAGCUGAGCCAGAGACAGUCACAGAGGAACAAGAUCAAGAUGCGCUUUAACUGAGAAGCCCCCAAGGCAGAGGCUGAGAAUCAGAAGACAUUUCAGCAGACAUCUACAAAUCUGAAGGACAAAACAUGGUUCAAGCAUCUGGGCACAGGCGGCUGGAUUGUACCAGUGUCCUUUACUGCAGUGACUGAACAUUCUAGGCACAGUAGAUUCAAGAAAUCUUGAGUUCAUUGGCUGAACAUACAUAUGAUAGUUGAGAAAGACACAUAUUCUGAUCAUGAAGAAAUAAACACAAGUUAAAUAUGACUAAGCAGAAAGAUGGAAGGACCAGGAACGGUGAUGCUAACUUGGAACCACGAUGCAGGCUCUAAUCUCCUCUACAAUCAUCCUCCCUUGUGAGAAAAAUACAUAAGAUCUAAGGCACAUGAGAUGAUACGCUUUCUGUUUGAGUUUCUCCUUUAUGUUACGCAUACUGAUAAAAUUGUUGACGCCAGUUGAUCUGAAGGUCCCAGCAAGGAGCCGACUCACAGAAGAAUGCAGUU
rnacentral:lncRNA from 1 species